rnacentral:rRNA from 1 species
UACGGAGGGAGCUAGCGUUGUUCGGAAUUACUGGGCGUAAAGCGCACGUAGGCGGCUUUGUAAGUUAGAGGUGAAAGCCCGGGGCUCAACUCCGGAACUGCCUUUAAGACUGCAUCGCUUGAAUCCGGGAGAGGUGAGUGGAAUUCCGAGUGUAGAGGUGAAAUUCGUAGAUAUUCGCAAGAACACCAGUGGCGAAGGCGGCUCACUGGCCCGGUACUGACGCUGAGGUGCGAAAGCGUGGGGAGCAAACAGG